rnacentral:tRNA from 1 species
UAUAAAUUACACUAUUUUGGCAGAAAAAAUGUAGUGGUUUUAGAAGUCAUAAAUAUAUAAUUAAUUAUAUAAA